CCGUCGUGGCCGGUAUACAAGAACACUUUUGCAACAUCAAACGGGCUGCGCCAUAAUUUCGCGAGAACGGCAACACGUCCGCUCUAGCAGGGUGCAGUUUUACCGUGGCGCAAACUAGCGUCUCGUACGUGGCGAAUGACCGCUUUCAUAGUGAUAGACACGCAACAGGCCAUUGACGUUCCCGUGUUACGUCGCAGCUUGGCGGGCUUUCACGCCUUUAACGUCGUCGUAACUCGUCGCGAAAAACUCAAUUAUCCAACCGCGAAAUACCUGAACCGAUAACGGAACGAUAAUGCGGCCCGAGCUCAAGUGGCUAUCAAUUAUCGUCUCAUUAUCAUUAUCAUAGCCGAGAUCUCGUUAAAACCGAUAAAAAGUAUAGGGAAUUAACGUGCUUCGCGUAUCGAUCAUACGAUGUAUCGAGUGUUCGCUGGUGUUUGCGAAGAUUGUGAAUUGUGAAAGUUUGUGCAGGUUUAUCGUACAUAAUAUGCAGAGGCUCUGUGGUGAAAAGUAGAAGAUUUAGUUUUUCAGAAGGAAUUCUCCGAAUGAUUUGUGAAAAAUGAAAGUUGGCGUUGGAGGUUUGACGAUAGAGAAGAAUUUGAAAGGAGAGACAAGCAGCCAAAGGGGCUGGCCACGCGAACAUUGACGCUCACAUUUAUCCACACGGAUUCUUGCCACGAUUCACACGCAUUCGGCGCGUACGCCUGUUCGUUCACACGUGCCAGGCAAUUUUGCCAUAACGUCGAGAAGUAUGCGGCGGAGACGAGCGGGCCGAGCGUAAAUCCAGCCAGGGGGCUGGCUGAGGCUUGAUUUCACCGUGCGCGCGUGGAAACAACUCGAAACUCACCGAGAGAGAGACGAUACUUUCGAGCGUGCACCGUUUACACGGAAAUGCACGCGCGGCUGAGCGCGCGGCCGUUCGCGAGUCAGCAAACCGUGCGGAAUGUCGACUGACGUAACGUCACCGAAAUUGAACGGCACCCUGGCUGUCUCGCGUAAUCGAAGCCUCGUUCGACUCGACGGCCACGCGUCCACAGAUUGUUAAGGGGUUGCUUUCGAUUCGAAUAUUUGCCAGUAGAUUUUUAUUGCCAGUAGACUGUGCAUAUUUCUGCAAAUUCAUACUUUCUGCGGAAAAAAUGGGGCUUAGAUAGAGAAUGCUUUUAGCUGUUAACCCUCGGCGGUGGACAUAUUUUUCUGGUGACAAGACAAUGGUGGCGACGUCCAAUUUUGAAACAAAUUUUAAAUGUCGCCAAAAAAAGAAAAGAAGGAAAAUGGUAAAAGGAUAUAAAAUUUGCAUGCUUCGGUAAUAAAUUUGUAUAAGCGUUAAUAACCCAAAAACGAGGCUACAUUUGUAACUUUAAUCACAUACUUUACCGCAAACAUAUUUUACCGCGUUUCCAGGCUAUUUUAAUAUUUCCAGCGUGUUUGACAUUUCCUGCGCGAGCAUCAAAAUACACGCAUAACGGUGCGUGAUUUUUAGGAUCGAAACUCGGGCGGAACACGUUCGAAGCAUUUACGAACGCGCCAUUAAUCAAGCCGAUAUUUCCCGUGUUUCAGAUGUUGCAGAAGCGUCGGUGAAUUUAACGUUAUCGUCGCUUAUAGCUUCAUUUACGUACAAACACGCAUAAGUGCUUGUACGUGCGUAUUCGCAGAUGCGACCUCCGUCCCUGUGGAAUUCUAGAGCUGGUCAAUGUAUAGUUACAUACGUACGGAACAUACCACCGAACCGGCAACUAGACACGAGUGUUUACCCCCCUGUGUGAUCCUUACGUUGCCUGCAAUUUAUAGGAAAAAAGUUCUACGAGAUUAUUCUAACUAUAUCACACACGUGUGUUUUCUGGAUACACGUGUACGUUUAUAUAUAAAACAGACGCUACCAAUUCUUGUGAAAAAAAUUAUAUUACAAAUUGCAAUAAAUAAACUUUUCAUACCUUCUCCGAUAUUAACUAACAGAUAACACUCGACUGAUAUCAACUAAUUCUGCUACAGACAAGCCUUUUGUAACAUGGUUAACUCGUUUCGCGUUAUAUCGAAAUCAGGUUUCCAAGUGUGUGUUAACGGCAAGUACUUAAUACUAAGGAAGACUGCAAGACCCUGGAUAUCUUCACCUUAAGGGAUCUGUGUAUAUAGAUCGUCGAGAGGAACGCGUGAGCUGGAAUCGGAAAGGUCAGAGGAUCUCGUGGCAAUGCGUCAUCGAGUAGGCAAACAGGACACCGAUCGAAGCGAGCGUUCCUAUCCCUAGGACGAUGCACACCGUACGCCACACAUCGGUCGUACAAUUCGUCGCUGCCGUGGGCUGUCAACGUAAUUACACGUACAGGGACCAUUAGACACGCGCGACGCUUACAAACGACUCAAACCACCUGCGAAAUCGUCACUUUGUUCCGCAGUUAAAUCAUGUCAAACUCGAACGACCCUGUGUACAGAUGCGUUCCACCUCGUUGCGAUCGAUAUACGACGAAUGUCUACAAAUGUCUGAAAAAGGUGAAGGUUAUCGUCGUCGAGAAUUAUAAUCGGAGUAUAAUCGAAAAAUAUCGCUAGAGUUCUUCUCUCUAUCUUGCACGGAGAUGUGUCUGACGAUGAGAUCUGAAACACUUCGAAUCGCUUCGAACCUGUACUGUAUUUUAUGCGGCGGCAAAUUCGUAUCGCUUUGAACAUGAUCCGAAAUUUAGAACUCUCGAAAGCUUUGAUAAGCGUUGAGAUACGUGGCCAGAAGUAAAAUACAGAAAGAUAUUCACGCGAUCAGUAUAUUCGGCUAAUAGAGUAGCUGAGCACGUACAGUUUAACCGAUACAGUUUCUAUAAGUAUAAGAGCAGCGAUAUAAUUUUCAAGUUUAAUAAUUUUCAAAAACGUAAAUAGUAGAAUUAUACAUAAAGAAACAUAUAAACAAACCAAGAACAUAAUUUUUCUUUCAUUCUCUUAGAACGACGGAAUACCAGCUUGCAGAUGUGAUAUGCAAAUGUAAGAAAUAUACACAUAAUAUGCAAAUUUAAUACGCAAAAGGUAUAACGCAAGUGGUAUAAGAGAAAUUUCUAAUUAACAAUUUUUUAUUGGGAUUACCUGUAUUUUUUAGGAAAUAAGAAAGUUCGCCAAAGUCUGUAUUUCGGAGGUUUCAGAAAUUAUGUUCAUCGUCUGCCACGAAAAUUACAUAGCUUACAUGCGGUCUCCAUUGAGAUCAAAAUAAAAGUCUGUAAAACACGUUCCAGUUCCCAUGGCGACACACGACCGAACAAGAAAUCCAUUUCCCUCGUGUGGAACACUUUCUGUGUUUCAAUGAAAGGAACUGGAGAUGAAUUUACCGAUCAACGGCUGGAGGUUUAUACGGCGGCUUGUGCCUGACAGAAACAUUUUCUAAGAUCGAUUCUCGCGAGUCGCACGAAAACGUAUUUCUCGUGGGCAAAACUGAAAUUAUAUAGUAACACCGUAUUACUGUCUGUCCUAUAUCAUAAAAAUAUCUUUGUGUGCAAUGAAUAAAUAUUCAUCGAAGAUACGAUAUUUGUAAGAUUUUCAUAUUUUAUUUAUUACCUAAAAAUGUAGUUUAGAUCACAAAGAUUCUUCCCAUAUAAAAACAAAAGUUACAUAUACCAUGAUUUUCCUUCCAAAAUUAAUUCAGUUAAAUUAAUGUUAAAUCCUUCCGUAAGAACUCCGAAACAAAGCAAAAUUAAUACUAAACAGCUUCAAACAAUCUUCGACGAAUAACUUCAAACAUUCCAACCCUACAGCUACGAACAAUAGAACCGAAACCAAUAUUCCAUCAACCGCACCGCCAUGCUAACAACUUGGUAUUGUCGCCAAAUUUUUCUACAAUUCUCUUCUUCUUUCAAUGAUUUUUCUUCAAUCUCGUUUAUUCUCCAACAGCAAAAGUAAAGUUGAAAUUUAACCACGACCACGGAGUAUCAAAGUUUCGAGAAUUUUCACGCUGGCCAAGAGUGUCUCGGUGGUCGGUUGCAGAUGCAGCUAACUGCGCUACGGGGCGUAUUCAUUAUCGGGCCGCCGGAACCCAGGUUGCUGAGACGAUUAAACAGGGAAUGGGAGGAUCCUCCAAUGAUUGGCUACACGGGGCCGAUUCAAUGUCUACGGCUCUAUCGGUCUAUCGCUCUCCCGCGGCCGUGUUACCCAUCUCCGCCGUUCUAUUUUAUCGCGUUGCACGCUCGUCGCUAGUUAAGCGAAAAACGCGCAUAGUUUGACGAAUUGUUCAAAAAUUCUUUCCCCUUUGCCUUUCGUUUCCAGGAAAUAUAAAUUUGUGACGAUCCUUUGAAACGAACUGUAAAUUAACGCAUCAGGCAUGACUCUACGAUUAGUUAAGCGAAAAAUUCGGCUAUUUCGGGAAAUUGGCCAGGAAUUCUUUUCGUUUUUUUUUUUUUUUCUUUCCUUUUGUUUUAUGGAAACGUUGGAUAUUCGGCGAUUUUGAUAUGUUGGAAUUGUGACGAUCGUUCGAGAUGUAUUAUGAUUGAUGAAACUGUGAGCUGGUAUGUUUCAAGUGGUAGAGCGGAUUCAAGUUGAAUCAUUGAUCGAUGGCUUAGUUUUCGUAUAGAUAGUAUUUCUGUCGAUACUGUUUUUUUUUUUCUUUUUUUCGGUAUCGCAUAAUAACAGACCGAUUCUAAUUUCUUUUCUACGUUUAUAAAUCUGUAACGAGAAUAAGAUGACAUAUUUUUAUAAUUACGUAUUAUUUGUAUCGACCAGUCCGAUAAAACUACUUGUCUCACGAAGUAUAAUACGUUUGUUAAAAUGUUCACAGAAUAGAGCAGUCAUUAUUGAAAUUGGAAGACGAUAUCUAAUUAAAGACAAAGCUCUACGAAAAGCUUGUCUAAUACCACGAUCUAGAAUCUCUUGUCCACGUAGCGCCAGUUAGAACACGAAAGCUAUCGCACAUUGAGAACAGAUAAUCCGACGCAAUUCGACCAAAAUGUAUCCACACGUCACGAGAAAUGCAAUUACAGAUUGACGUCAGUCAGGUGCUUCUGAAGCGUGUUCAUCGUAUCUCGGGUUUAUAACCGACAGCUUACGAACUGAUGCAGCAUUCGGCUGAUCUUACAGGUUGAAAUUUUUCCUCGAGGAGAGUGGAUUUUUCUAAGCAAAUAAAUUGAAUUUUUCACAUUUACAAAUAUUUAAUAUGGCAAUUUAAAAAAUAAGAAAGGAACGAUUACAUGGUUAUUAGCGUACUGUGAAAUGUUUAUGUCAAUUCGUGUUUUUGUAGACACUGAUAAAAAAGACAAACGAAAGUAUAUCUUACUUUCUAGUUAUUAUCUAACAUGUAUUUUAUAUUUGAUAUUUAAUAUACUCAUAGAUCAAGAAUAUUGGAAAAACAUGAUCAUUUUGUAGAUUAUUAAGAGUCUAAGAGAAAUGGCAGAAGUGAACAUCUACUGGAUGAAAAGCGAAAAAUGCGAUAGACGAUCAACUUGUCACUAAUUCGAUAAAAGUAGCAUGGUUUUUCUAAUUUUCUUAUUUUUAUAUCGCUAUAAUUCUUCGUUUAAACCAUUUACUUUCCUCUAUGCACGAAACGUAAAAGUUGCUAGAAAAACGAAUCGAUCGAACUGCCACAAGUUCAACUUUAGCAUCAUCGAAUUAAUGCAACAACACUGAUCGAUUCCUCGUAACCAGUAACAAGUUCAAUGGUAAUUGCAAUCACGACAAACGCCUGCAACAACCGAGCGCUCGUAAAUGAUAAUGUAUCCGUUGCAGUGGAACGCAAAAUUACGCGAAACGAUACGAUACCUCCAUUUUCCUUUUGAAAGAAUUUAACCCCUUGGCAUCGAAUGACGAGUCUGACUCGUCAUGGUAAUUUAAUCCCUUGGUCUCAUAUCACGAGUCUAACUCGUCACAGUAAUUUAACACUUUGGUGUCAAAUGACGAACGCACAUCUUUAUACUUAUAGUAAAUUUAAAAUUGCAAAAAGUGCUCGAAAUAUCCAAAGUAUAAUACUUGUUAUAACAAUCGGUGGAUUAAACAAAUUCCUAUUUAGAUUUCAUUCGUUUGACUAGGUUCAUGAAAGUACGAAUUCGCUUGAAAAUCUGCGAUCUAGUAAUAACGUUACGUACAAGGUAUACAAUGACGAACUAAUCUCGACUAAAUUGUGCGUCAAGGAACACGUAUACUUCCGCGUGGACACGUCGAAGAGAAUGUUAUUCGCGCGUGUGCACUGAAAACUGUUCGUGACUUAUAGUUGUACGCGCGGCCCGUUACCUUCGCUUAAGCCAACACACUCGUACCUACACGCGAAUCUCCACGUUGCAUAAAUCCUGUCUCGAUGAUAUACGACCGUAAGGCUUCCAACUAUUUGCCGGACCAGU